UACGUAGGGAGCAAGCGUUGUCCGGAAUCAUUGGGCGUAAAGCGCGCGUAGGUGGCCCCGUAAGUCCGCUGUGAAAGUCAAAGGCUCAACCUUUGAAAGCCGGUGGAUACUGUGGGACUAGAGUACGGAAGAGGCGAGUGGAAUUCCUGGUGUAGCGGUGGAAUGCGCAGAUAGUCAGGAGGAACACCGGUGGCGAAGGCGGGGUCUCUGGGCAGUAACUGACGCUGAGGAGCGAAAGCGUGGGGAGCGAACAGGA
rnacentral:rRNA from 1 species